UACAGAGGUCUCAAGCGUUGUUCGGAUUCAUUGGGCGUAAAGCGCACGUAGGCGGCUUUGUGUGUCGGAUGUGAAAUCCCUCGGCUUAACCAAGGAAGUGCAUUCGAAACUGCGAAGCUUGAGUACUUAAGAGGAUCGCGGAAUUCCCGGUGUAGAGGUGAAAUUCGUAGAUAUCGGGAGGAACACCAGUGGCGAAGGCGGCGAUCUGGGAAGAUACUGACGCUGAGGUGCGAAAGCGUGGGGAGCAAACAGG
rnacentral:rRNA from 1 species